rnacentral:rRNA from 1 species
CGAACGCUGGCGGCAUGCCUAACACAUGCAAGUCGAACGAGACCUUCGGGUCUAGUGGCGCACGGGUGCGUAACGCGUGGGAACCUGCCCUUAGGUUCGGAAUAACUCCCCGAAAGGGGUGCUAAUACCGGAUAAUGUCUUCGGACCAAAGAUUUAUCGCCUUUGGAUGGGCCCGCGUUGGAUUAGCUAGUUGGUAGGGUAAAAGCCUACCAAGGCGACGAUCCAUAGCUGGUCUGAGAGGAUGAUCAGCCACACUGGGACUGAGACACGGCCCAGACUCUUACGGGAGGCAGCAGUGGGGAAUAUUGGACAAUGGGCGAAAGCCUGAUCCAGCAAUGCCGCGUGAGUGAUGAAGGCCGUAGGGUUGUAAAGCUCUUUUACCCGGGAUGAUAAUGACAGUACCGGGAGAAUAAGCUCCGGCUAACUCCGUG